rnacentral:rRNA from 1 species
UCAGGAUAAACGCUGGCGGUAUACGUAACACAUGCAAGUCGAACGCAUCCUUCACAAGAUGAGUGGCGGACGGGUGAGUAACGCGUGAGAAUCUGCCUUCAGGACUGGGACAACCACUGGAAACGGUGGCUAAUACCAGAUAUGCAGUGAGUGAAAAGGUUUAUUCCGCCUGAAGAUGAGCUCGCGUCAGAUUAGCUAGUUGGUGAGGUAACGGCUUACCAAGGCAUCGAUCUGUAGCUGGUCUGAGAGGAUGACCAGCCACACUGGGACUGAGAGACGGCCCAGACUCCUACGGGAGGCAGCAGUGAGGAAUUUUCCGCAAUGGGCGCAAGCCUGACGGAGUAAUACCGCGUGCGGGAGGAAGGUCUAUUGACUGUAAACCGCUUUUAUUAAGAAAGAAUUCUGACGGUACUUAAUGAAUAAGCCUCGGCUAACUCCGUGCCAGCAGCCGCGGCAAUACGGAGGAGGCAAGCGUUAUCCGGAAUUAUUGGGCGUAAAGCGUCCGUAGGUGGUUUUGCAAGUCGGCUGUCAAAGCCCGUGGCUCAACCACGGAAAGGCAGUGGAAACUACAAGACUGGAGUGCAGUAGGGGCAGAGGGAAUUC